GGGAAUAUGGCUUAGUGGUAGAGUGUUUGCCUCUCAUGCACAAAUCCCUGGGUUCAAUUCCUCAGUACCA
rnacentral:tRNA from 1 species